rnacentral:rRNA from 1 species
GUACACAAAAAUGCACAUAUUGUGAGCUCGAUGAGUAGGGCGGGACACGUGGUAUCCUGUCUGAAUAUGGGGGGACCAUCCUCCAAGGCUAAAUACUCCUGACUGACCGAUAGUGAACCAGUACCGUGAGGGAAAGGCGAAAAGAACCCCGGCGAGGGGAGUGAAAAAGAACCUGAAACCGUGUACGUACAAGCAGUGGGAGCCUCUUUAUGGGGUGACUGCGUACCUUUUGUAUAAUGGGUCAGCGACUUAUAUUCUGUAGCAAGGUUAACCGAAUAGGGGAGCCGAAGGGAAACCGAGUCUUAACUGGGCGUUAAGUUGCAGGGUAUAGACCCGAAACCCGGUGAUCUAGCCAUGGGCAGGUUGAAGGUUGGGUAACACUAACUGGAGGACCGAACCGACUAAUGUUGAAAAAUUAGCGGAUGACUUGUGGCUGGGGGUGAAAGGCCAAUCAAACCGGGAGAUAGCUGGUUCUCCCCGAAAGCUAUUUAGGUAGCGCCUCGUGAAUUCAUCUCCGGGGGUAGAGCACUGUUUCGGCAAGGGGGUCAUCCCGACUUACCAACCCGAUGCAAACUGCGAAUACCGGAGAAUGUUAUCACGGGAGACACACGGCGGGUGCUAACGUCCGUCGUGAAGAGGGAAACAACCCAGACCGCCAGCUAAGGUCCCAAAGUCAUGGUUAAGUGGGAAACGAUGUGGGAAGGCCCAGACAGCCAGGAUGUUGGCUUAGAAGCAGCCAUCAUUUAAAGAAAGCGUAAUAGCUCACUGGUCGAGUCGGCCUGCGCGGAAGAUGUAACGGGGCUAAACCAUGCACCGAAGCUGCGGCAGCGACACUAUGUGUUGUUGGGUAGGGGAGCGUUCUGUAAGCCUGUGAAGGUGGCCUGUGAGGGUUGCUGGAGGUAUCAGAAGUGCGAAUGCUGACAUAAGUAACGAUAAAGCGGGUGAAAAGCCCGCUCGCCGGAAGACCAAGGGUUCCUGUCCAACGUUAAUCGGGGCAGGGUGAGUCGACCCCUAAGGCGAGGCCGAAAGGCGUAGUCGAUGGGAAACAGGUUAAUAUUCCUGUACUUGGUGUUACUGCGAAGGGGGGACGGAGAAGGCUAUGUUGGCCGGGCGACGGUUGUCCCGGUUUAAGCGUGUAGGCUGGUUUUCCAGGCAAAUCCGGAAAACCAAGGCUGAGGCGUGAUGACGAGGCACUACGGUGCUGAAGCGACAAAUGCCCUGCUUCCAGGAAAAGCCUCUAAGCAUCAGGUAACAUCAAAUCGUACCCCAAACCGACACAGGUGGUCAGGUAGAGAAUACCAAGGCGCUUGAGAGAACUCGGGUGAAGGAACUAGGCAAAAUGGUGCCGUAACUUCGGGAGAAGGCACGCUGAUAUGUAGGUGAAGCGACUUGCUCGUGGAGCUGAAAUCAGUCGAAGAUACCAGCUGGCUGCAACUGUUUAUUAAAAACACAGCACUGUGCAAACACGAAAGUGGACGUAUACGGUGUGACGCCUGCCCGGUGCCGGAAGGUUAAUUGAUGGGGUUAGCGGUAACGCGAAGCUCUUGAUCGAAGCCCCGGUAAACGGCGGCCGUAACUAUAACGGUCCUAAGGUAGCGAAAUUCCUUGUCGGGUAAGUUCCGACCUGCACGAAUGGCGUAAUGAUGGCCAGGCUGUCUCCACCCGAGACUCAGUGAAAUUGAACUCGCUGUGAAGAUGCAGUGUACCCGCGGCAAGACGGAAAGACCCCGUGAACCUUUACUAUAGCUUGACACUGAACAUUGAGCCUUGAUGUGUAGGAUAGGUGGGAGGCUUUGAAGUGUGGACGCCAGUCUGCAUGGAGCCGACCUUGAAAUACCACCCUUUAAUGUUUGAUGUUCUAACGUUGGCCCGUAAUCCGGGUUGCGGACAGUGUCUGGUGGGUAGUUUGACUGGGGCGGUCUCCUCCUAAAGAGUAACGGAGGAGCACGAAGGUUGGCUAAUCCUGGUCGGACAUCAGGAGGUUAGUGCAAUGGCAUAAGCCAGCUUGACUGCGAGCGUGACGGCGCGAGCAGGUGCGAAAGCAGGUCAUAGUGAUCCGGUGGUUCUGAAUGGAAGGGCCAUCGCUCAACGGAUAAAAGGUACUCCGGGGAUAACAGGCUGAUACCGCCCAAGAGUUCAUAUCGACGGCGGUGUUUGGCACCUCGAUGUCGGCUCAUCACAUCCUGGGGCUGAAGUAGGUCCCAAGGGUAUGGCUGUUCGCCAUUUAAAGUGGUACGCGAGCUGGGUUUAGAACGUCGUGAGACAGUUCGGUCCCUAUCUGCCGUGGGCGCUGGAGAACUGAGGGGGGCUGCUCCUAGUACGAGAGGACCGGAGUGGACGCAUCACUGGUGUUCGGGUUGUCAUGCCAAUGGCACUGCCCGGUAGCUAAAUGCGGAAGAGAUAAGUGCUGAAAGCAUCUAAGCACGAAACUUGCCCCGAGAUGAGUUCUCCCUGACUCCUUGAGAGUCCUG